rnacentral:ncRNA from 2 species
UAACCUUCGCAUAACUGGCGGAAGUGGGAUUACCACAAGGGAGUGCGAAAGGAUGUAUGCCGGCCGCCUGGGCGCCUCUU